CGAAGGGGGCUAGCGUUGUUCGGAAUUACUGGGCGUAAAGCGCGCGUAGGCGGCAAUCCAAGUCAGAGGUGAAAUGCCGGGGCUUAACCCCGGAACUGCCUUUGAAACUGUUUUGCUUGAGUGUCGGAGGGGAUAGCGGAAUUCCUAAUGUAGAGGUGAAAUUCGUAGAUAUUAGGAGGAACACCGGUGGCGAAGGCGGCUAUCUGGACGACAACUGACGCUGAGGCGCGAAAGCGUGGGUAGCAAACAGGAUUAGAUACCCUGGUAGUCCACGCCGUAAACGAUGAGUGCUAGCUGUUGGGACCUUUAGGUCUCAGUGGCGUCGCUAACGCUUUAAGCACUCCGCCUGGGGAGUACGGUCGCAAGAUUA
rnacentral:rRNA from 1 species